UUCUUCCUCACUCCACUCCCCCACUUCACCAUCAAUACUAUCCUCUAUUAUUUUCUCCUCAUCAUUUUUUUCUUCCUCUCUUUUUUCACUCUCAUCUCUUUUUUUAUUCUCACUAAUCAACUCCCUUCCACUUCUCGUCGUUAUCGCUUUACAAUGCUCUUUAGGAUUAGUUUGCGUGUUCGCCGAAAAAGAUGGACCGGGUUGUUGUUCCGCUAGUUGCUUAGCAAGUUGUCCGACUUGAGUCUCGAGGUUUUUGAUUGCCGCAUCGUUACUUUUUUGAUUAGCCAUUGACAUUUGCAUAAAUUGUGUCAAUGUCUCUUCUAGCUUUGAAGUCACGACCGGCGGUUGUUGAGGUUGGUAAGGAUUUUGGGGAGGGUUUUGACGGCUAGAAGAACCACCCCCAUAACCUUGGUUAUGGUAAUAGUUACUCCUAGGUUGGAACCCUUGAUUCCCUUGGAAGUGUU
rnacentral:lncRNA from 1 species